AAAUGAAUAGACGGGGGCCCGCACAAGCAGCGGAGCAUGUGGUUUAAUUCGAAGCAACGCGUAGAACCUUACCAGGGCUUGACAUCCGCCGAAUCCUGCAGAAAUGCGGGAGUGCUCCUUCGGGAGAACGGCGAGACAGGUGGUGCAUGGUUGUCGUCAGCUCGUGUCGUGAGAUGUUGGGUUAAGUCCCGCAACGAGCGCAACCCCUGUCGCAUGUUGCCAGCACGUAAAGGUGGGGACUCAUGCGAGACUGCCGGUGACAAACCGGAGGAAGGUGGGGAUGACGUCAAAUCAUCAUGCCCCUUAUGUCCUGGGCUACACACGUGCUACAAUGGCCGUCACAGAGCGCCCCGAACCCGUGAGGGGGAGGCAAUCGCUGAAAGGCGGUCUCAGUUCGGAUCGCAGGCUGCAACUCGCCUGCGUGAAGUCGGAGUUGCUAGUAAUCGCGGAUCAGCAUGCCGCGGUGAAUGCGUUCCCGGGCCUUGUACACACCGCCCGU
rnacentral:rRNA from 1 species